rnacentral:rRNA from 1 species
AUGCCCUAUGAUGAGCGGUACACGCCCUACAUCCAGCAGGAAGGACUCCUCCCGUGGAUUCAGUUGGUCAGCCGGUCCACGCCGGACCUCAACGCUCCACUGGUGACCUCUCUUGCUGAUCGGUGGAUGCCGGAGACGCACAGUUUCCAUCUUCGGACUGGGGAGAUGACUGUGAUGCUUGAGGAUGUCGCCUUGAUCACCGGGCUUCCUAUCGACGGGAGG